rnacentral:rRNA from 1 species
GAUGAACGCUGGCGGCGUGCCUAAUACAUGCAAGUCGAGCGAAGCGGGGACGGGUGAGUAACACGUGGAUAACCUCCUAUAAGACUGGGAUAAGCUCGGGAAACGGGAGCUAAACCGGAUAGUUGUAGAUGGAUCUGCGCUGCAUUAGCGAGUUGGUAAGGUAACGGCUUACCAAGGCAACGAUGCAUAGCCGACCGGUGAGGGUGAUCGGCCACACUGGAACUGAGACACGGUCCAGACUCCUACGGUAGGCAGCAGGAGGGAAUCUUGCGCAAUGGGCGAAAGCCUGACGGAGCAACGCCGCGUGAGUGAUGAAGGUAUUCGGGUCGUAAAGCUCUGUUAUUAGGGAGGCGGUACCUAAACAAGAAGCCCCGGCUAACUACGUGCCAGCAGCCGCGGUAAUAC